rnacentral:sRNA from 1 species
GCGACCUCAGAUCAGACGUGGCGACCCGCUGAAUUUAAGCAUAUUAGUCAGCGGAGGAAAAGAAACUAACCAGGGGGAUUCCCUCAGUAACGGCGAGUGAACAGGGAAGAGCCCAGCGCCGAAUCCCCGCCGCGCGUCGCGGCGUGGGAAAUGUGGCGUACGGAAGACCCACUCCCCGGCGCCGCUCGUGGGGGGCCCAAGUCCUUCUGAUCGAGG